GCCGGGGUGGCGGAAUUGGUAGACGCGACGGACUUAAAAUCCGUUGGGAGUAUAUCCCGUGCGGGUUCGAUUCCCGCCCUCGGCACCA
rnacentral:tRNA from 1 species